GCGAAAACUUUACAAUGCUGGCAACAGCGAUAAGGGAACCCCGAGUGCCAGGUUACAAAUCUGGCUGUCGUGAUGCCUAAAAAGCAUUGCAUAGCCAGGGCCGGGCAAGACCGUUGCCAGCCGCCGCGGUAACACCAGCGGCCCGAGUGGUAACCGUUAUUAUAGGGUCUAAAGGGUCUGUAGCCGGCCGGAUAAGUCUCUUGGGAAAUCCAGCAGCUUCACUGAUUGUCUUUCAGGGGAUACUGUCUGGCUCGAGGCAGGGAGAGGUGAGAGGUACUUAAGGUGUAGGGGUGAAAUCUUGUAAUCCUUGAAGGAAUACCAGUGGCGAAGGCGACGCACCAGAACGGACCUGACGGCAAGGGGCGAAAGCGAGGGGAACGAACA
rnacentral:rRNA from 1 species